rnacentral:rRNA from 1 species
GUCUAUGGCUAUGCCAACCUGAACAUGCCCGAUCUCGUCUGAUCUCAGAAGCUAAGCAGGUUCGGGCCUGGUUAGUACUUGGAUGGGAGACCACCUAGGAAGACCACGUGCUGUAAGUG